AGAGUUUGAUCCUGGCUCAGGAUGAACGCUGGCGGCGUGCUUAACACAUGCAAGUCGAACGAUGAUCCGGUGCUUGCACCGGGGAUUAGUGGCGAACGGGUGAGUAACACGUGAGUAACCUGCCCUUGACUCUGGGAUAAGCCUGGGAAACUGGGUCUAAUACCGGAUAUGACUCCUCAUCGCAUGGUGGGGGGUGGAAAGCUUUUGCGGUUUUGGAUGGACUCGCGGCCUAUCAGCUUGUUGGUGAGGUAAUGGCUUACCAAGGCGACGACGGGUAGCCGGCCUGAGAGGGUGACCGGCCACACUGGGACUGAGACACGGCCCAGACUCCUACGGGAGGCAGCAGUGGGGAAUAUUGCACAAUGGGCGCAAGCCUGAUGCAGCGACGCCGCGUGAGGGAUGACGGCCUUCGGGUUGUAAACCUCUUUCAGUAGGGAAGAAGCGAAAGUGACGGUACCUGCAGAAGAAGCGCCGGCUAACUACGUGCCAGCAGCCGCGGUAAUACGUAGGGCGCAAGCGUUAUCCGGAAUUAUUGGGCGUAAAGAGCUCGUAGGCGGUUUGUCGCGUCUGCCGUGAAAGUCCGGGGCUCAACUCCGGAUCUGCGGUGGGUACGGGCAGACUAGAGUGAUGUAGGGGAGACUGGAAUUCCUGGUGUAGCGGUGAAAUGCGCAGAUAUCAGGAGGAACACCGAUGGCGAAGGCAGGUCUCUGGGCAUUAACUGACGCUGAGGAGCGAAAGCAUGGGGAGCGAACAGGAUUAGGUACCCUGGUAGUCCAUGCCGUAAACGUUGGGCACUAUGUGUGGGGGACAUUCCACGUUUUCCGCGCCGUAGCUAACGCAUUAAGUGCCCCGCCUGGGGAGUACGGCCGCAAGGCUAAACUCAAUGAAUUGACGG
rnacentral:rRNA from 1 species